AAAGUUCCCUUCGGGGAGCGAGUAGAGUGGCGUCCGGGCGAGUAACACGUAGGUAAUCUACCUUUGGGUGGGGAAUAACAACCGGAAACGGUUGCUAAUACCGCAUAAUGCAGCGGCAUCACAUGAUGACAGUUGUUAAAGCGGGGGAUCGUAAGACCUCGCGCCUAAAGAGGAGCCUGCGGCGGAUUAGCUAGUUGGUAAGGUAACGGCUUACCAAGGCAACGAUCCGUAGCCGGCCUGAGAGGGCGGUCGGCCACACUGACACUGAAAUACGGGUCAGACUCCUACGGGAGGCAGCAGUCGGGAAUUUUGGGCAAUGGGCGAAAGCCUGACCCAGCAACGCCGCGUGAAGGAUGAAAUCCCUCGGGAUGUAAACUUCGCAAGAACAGGAAGAAUAAGUAGGGGACAAUACCCCCUAUGAUGACGGUACUGUUCGUAAGCUCCGGCUAACUCCGUGCCAGCAGCCGCGGUAAUACGGGGGGAGCAAGCGUUGUUCGGAUUUACUGGGCGUAAAGGGCGCGUAGGCGGCCUGUGCAAGUCAGUUGUGAAAUCUCCGAGCUUAACUCGGAACGGUCAACUGAUACUGCUCGGCUAGAGUGCGGAAGGGGCAACUGGAAUUCUUGGUGUAGCGGUGAAAUGCGUAGAUAUCAAGAGGAACACCUGCGGCGAAGGCGGGUUGCUGGGCCGACACUGACGCUGAUGCGCGAAAGCUAGGGGAGCGAACGGGAUUAGAUACCCCGGUAGUCCUAGCCUUAAACGAUGAAUGCUUGGUGUCUGGGGUUAUAAAGUCCCCGGGUGCCGUCGCUAACGC
rnacentral:rRNA from 1 species